UACGUAGGGGGCAAGCGUUGUCCGGAAUCAUUGGGCGUAAAGAGCGUGUAGGCGGCCCGAUAAGUCCGCUGUGAAAGUCCAGGGUUCAACCCUGGAAUGCCGGUGGAUACUGUCGGGCUAGAGUCCGGAAGAGGCGAGUGGAAUUCCUGGUGUAGCGGUGAAAUGCGCAGAUAUCAGGAGGAACACCGGUGGCGAAGGCGGUGGUCUGGGCCGAAACUGACGCUGAGGAGCGAAAGCGUGGGGAGCGAACAGG
rnacentral:rRNA from 1 species